AUUGAACGCUGGCGGCAUGCCUUACACAUGCAAGUCGAACGGGGGUAGCAAUACCCUAGUGGCGAACGGGUGAGUAAAGCAUCGGAACGUACCCAGUCGUGGGGGAUAACGUAGCGAAAGUUACGCUAAUACCGCAUACGAUCUGAGGAUGAAAGCAGGGGACUCGCAAGAGCCUUGCGCGAUUGGAGCGGCUGAUGUCGGAUUAGCUAGUUGGUGAGGUAAAAGCUCACCAAGGCGACGAUCCGUAGCUGGGCUGAGAGGAUGAUCAGCCACACUGGGACUGAGACACGGCCCAGACUCCUACGGGAGGCAGCAGUGGGGAAUUUUGGACAAUGGGGGAAACCCUGAUCCAGCCAUGCCGCGUGAGUGAAGAAGGCCUUCGGGUUGUAAAGCUCUUUCAGACGGAAAGAAAUGGUCUUGGCUAAUACCCGAGAUCGAUGACGGUACCGUAAGAAGAAGCACCGGCUAACUACGUGCCAGCCGCCGCGGUAA
rnacentral:rRNA from 1 species